UACGUAGGGUGCGAGCGUUGUCCGGAAUUAUUGGGCGUAAAGAGCUUGUAGACGGUUUGUCGCGUCUGCUGUGAAAAUCCGGGGCUCAACCCCGGACUUGCAGUGGGUACGGGCAGACUAGAGUGUGGUAGGGGAGACUGGAAUUCCUGGUGUAGCGGUGUAAAUGCGCAGAUAUCAGGAGGAACACCGGUGGCGAAGGCGGUCUCUGGGCAGUAACUGACGUGAGGAGCGAAAGCGUGGGGAGCAACAGG
rnacentral:rRNA from 1 species